rnacentral:rRNA from 1 species
GGUUCGAUUAUGGCUCAGAUUGAACGCUGGCGGGAUGCUUUACACAUGCAAGUCGAACGGCAGCACGGACUUCGGUCUGGUGGCGAGUGGCGAACGGGUGAGUAAUGUAUCGGAACGUGCCUAGUAGCGGGGGUAACUACGCGAAAGCGUAGCUAAUACCGCAUACGCCCUUCGGGGGGAAAGCGGGGGACCUUCGGGCUUCGCACUAUUAGAGCGGCCGAUAUCGGAUUAGCUAGUUGGUGGGGUAACGGCCACCAAGGCGACGAUCCGUAGCUGGUUUGAGAGGACGACCAGCCACACUGGGACUGAGACACGGCCCAGACUCUACGGAGGCAGCAGUGGGGAAUUUGGACAAUGGGGGAAACCCCUGAUCCAGCCAUCCCGCGUGUGCGAUGAAGGCCUUCGGGUUGUAAAGCACUUUUGGCAGGAAGCAAACGGCACGGGAUAAUACCCCGUGCAACUGACGGUACCUGCAUAAGCACCGCUAACUACGCUGCAGCCGCGGUAAUACGUAGGUGCAAGCGUUAAUCGGAAUUACUGCGUAAAGUGUGCGCAGGCGGUUCGGAAAGAAAGAUGUGAAAUCCCAGAGCUUAACUUUGAAACUGCAUUUUUAACUACCGAGCUAGAGUGUGUCAGAGGGAGGAAUUCCGCGUGUAGCAGUGAAAUGCGUAGAUAUGCGGAGGAACACCGAUGGCGAAGGCAGCCUCCUGGGAUAACACUGACGCUCAUGCACGAAAGCGUGGGGAGCAAACAGGAUUAGAUACCCUGGUAGUCCACGCCCUAAACGAUGUCAACUAGCUGUUGGGGCCUUCGGGCCUGGUAGCGCAGCUAACGCGUGAAGUUGACCGCCUGGGGAGUACGGUCGCAAGAUUAAAACUCAAAGGAAUUGACGGGGACCCGCACAAGCGGUGGAUGAUGUGGAUUAAUUCGAUGCAACGCGAAAAACCUUACCUACCCUUGACAUGUCUGGAAUCCCGAAGAGAUUUGGGAGUGCUCGCAAGAGAACCGGAACAUGUAUGCUGCAUGGCUGUCGUCAGCUCGUGUCGUGAGAUGUUGGGUUAAGUCCCGCAACGAGCGCAACCCCUUGUCAUUAGUUGCUACGAAAGGGCACUCUAAUGAGACUGCCGGUGACAAACCGGAGGAAGGUGGGGAUGACGCCGGGAGCCCUCAUGGCCCUUAUGGGUAGGGCUUCACACGUCAUACAAUGGCCGGGACAGAGGGUCACCAACCCGCGAGGGGGAGCCAAUCCCAGAAACCGAUCGUGGGGUCCGGAUCGCAGUCUGCAACUCGACUGCGUAGUCGGAAUCGCUAGUAAUCGCGGAUCAGCAUGUCGCGGUGAAUACGUUCCCGGGUCUUGUACACUGCCUGUCACACCAUGGGAGUGGGUUUACCAGAAGUAGUUAGCCUAACCGUAAGGAGGGCGAUUACCACGGUAGGAUUCAUGACUGGGGUGAAGUCGUAACAAGGUAG